rnacentral:rRNA from 1 species
GUGAAAUUGUUGAAAGGGAAGGAAAGGAAGUCAGUGUGAUUCUCUGUCAUUUUCCCACUCGCCUUCGGGAGAGUGGCCGUGGCAGGGAGUUGGUCAAGAUGGGUUCGAGCUGCGGGAUUAGGGUGUGGGGAAGGUUGGUCGCACCUCGGUGUGACCGUUAUAUCCCCGCAUUCCUGUCGCAGCGUCGGACCGAGGUCAACUGUGCGCUUUGCUGCGCCUUCGGGUGCAUGCACAGUCUGGAUCCUGACGAAAUGGCUUUCUUUCACCCGUCUUGAAACACGGACCAAGGAGUCUAACAUAUAUGCGAGUACAGGGGUGGUAAAUCCCGGUGCGCAAUGAAAGUAAAGACCCGCGUACGCGGGUUGAGGUAGGAUCCGUAAGGUGCACUAUCGACCGACCAUGAUCCUUCGGGAGAAAGGUUUGAGUGUGAGCAUACAUGUUGGGACCCGAAAGAUGGUGAACUAUGCCUGAGUAGGGCGAAGCCAGGGGAAACUCUGGUGGAGGCUCGUAGCGAUUGUGACGUGCAAAUCCAUCGUGGAAUUUGGGUAUAGGGGCGAAAGACUAAUCGAACCAUCUAGUAGCUGGUUCCCUCCGAAAUUUCCCUCAGGAUAGCUGCAACCCACUGCCAGUUUUAUCAGGUAAAGCGAAUGAUUAGAGGCCUCGGGGUCGAAAUGACCUCGACCUAUUCUCAAACUUUAAAUGGGUAAGAGCCUGGGGUCGCUUAA